UCAGGAUGAACGCUAGCUACAGGCUUAACACAUGCAAGUCGAGGGGCAGCAUGAUCAAAGCUUGCUUUGAUUGAUGGCGACCGGCGCACGGGUGAGUAACGCGUAUCCAACCUUCCCUAUAGCAGAGGAUAGCCCGGCGAAAGUCGGAUUAAUACUCUAUGUUUUCCAAUGCAGACAUCUAAAAUGGAACAAAGGUUUACCGCUAUAGGAUGGGGAUGCGUCUGAUUAGGUAGUCGGCGGGGUAACGGCCCACCGAGCCCUCGAUCAGUAGGGGUUCUGAGAGGAAGGUCCCCCACAUUGGAACUGAGACACGGUCCAAACUCCUACGGGGGGCAGCAGUGAGGAAUAUUGGUCAAUGGGCGAGAGCCUGAACCAGCCAAGUAGCCGUGCAGGAUGACGGCCCUAUGGGUUGUAAACUGCUUUUAUACAGGGAUAAAGUGGGGAACGUGUUCCCUUUUGUAGGUACUGUAUGAAUAAGGACCGGCUAAUUCCGUGCCAGCCGCUGC
rnacentral:rRNA from 1 species